CAGCCGCCGCGGUAACACGUAGGGUGCGAGCGUUAAUCGGAAUUACUGGGCGUAAAGCGUGCGCAGGCGGUUCGUUAAGACAGAUGUGAAAUCCCCGGGCUUAACCUGGGAACUGCAUUUGUGACUGACGGGCUAGAGUAUGGCAGAGGGGGGUAGAAUUCCACGUGUAGCAGUGAAAUGCGUAGAGAUGUGGAGGAAUACCGAUGGCGAAGGCAGCCCCCUGGGCCAAUACUGACGCUCAUGCACGAAAGCGUGGGGAGCAAACAGGAUUAGAUACCCCCGUAGUCCCUGUCUCUUAUAC
rnacentral:rRNA from 1 species